UGCCAGCAGCCGCGGUAAUACAGAGGUGGCAAGCGUUGUCCGGAUUUACUGGGCGUAAAGGGUGCGUAGGCUGUUUUGUAAGUCGGAUGUGAAAUCUUACCGUUCAUCGGUAAAACUGCAUUCGAUACUGCAGGACUAGAGUAUAGGAGAGGAGAGCGGAAUUCUUGGUGUAGCGGUGAAAUGCGUUGAUAUCAAGAGGAACACCGGUGGCGAAGGCGGCUCUCUGGACUAUUACUGACGCUGAGGCACGAAAGCUAGGGGAGCAAACAGGAUUAGAUA
rnacentral:rRNA from 1 species